rnacentral:rRNA from 11 species
UUUUGUGUUCCGUUCCCACCUUAAAAAUAGUCAAUCUCAUCUUGACUUCAAAAGCUAAGCAGAGUUGGAUCUGGUUAAUACAGAAAUGGGAAACCAUUAGGAAAUAUCAGGAGAUCUCCAAAU